UAAUGAACAAAUGCUUACUGCAGAACCUGUAUACAGCAUGUUGCUGUAGAUCUGCAAAGCAUCAUAGUCAAAUUUCUGUGGCGGGUGAAUUCUACAUUAAAUAUAGUUUUCCUGUGAAUCACAAUACAGUAAUUUUGAGCGGGAUUUUUUUUUUCAGCAGUAGAAACAAUAAUCUGUCUGAUUAUUUGCUGAUGGUACACUUUGCAUUAUUUCCAACACAAACGUUUUCUAGUUUUUAUUAUCACGCAAACAGAUGAGGACCCAACAUGUUUAUAUCCUCCAUACGUUAACAAUUACACAAAUGAUGGGAGUAUAAUGUUAUGCUGAUGGCCACCUGCAUUUCUUCCCACUAUAUUGUUGCAACAGCUUACUGACAAGAUUCCACACUUUCUUCAGCCUUUGACUUCGGCAAGGUGUGUGUCUUGGUGUGCUAGCUAGCUCCGUUUGGAGAAGCUUGUCACUCGUUUUUCUCUUGCUAGCUACCGUGAGGCAUGGGUUACCAAGUACUGAAGCGGGCCGAGGCGAAACAAAACGCAACAACGGGGAAGAAGACUCCAGCCUAGGAAGAAGAAUAAAGUUUAGGAAGCAGAAUCCAGUUCAGGAAUAAUAAAGUCAGUCUUAGACAUUUUAUUUUUUUAAAUUCUACAGUUUUUGGUUCAUAUUUUAUUUGUGUUUUUAUAAAUUUCCACUUUUAACUGAACAUUUUAAUCACUUCCAGUGUUUGGAUUUUACUGUUUUGUUUGUAAAAAUCACUUGAAAAUAUCUUGUGUGACAGAGUUUUCUACAAAGUGAUGUUUUUGUGUUUUUUUACAUUGAAUCAAUGUUACUAGGAUACAUGUGACUGUCAAUGAGUCUCAGAAAGCAAAUGUAAAACAAUAGAGGACUUGCACACAUCUUUAUGAUUAACAACUCCUUCCCUUUUUUUUUAAUUUUUCUUUCUUUUAUAUUUAUCUCUAGAUGUACAGUCAAAUGAACUAAAACUCCUCAAACAGUAAAUCAAUCAUUUUAAAACUCUCUAAAUAUGCAUGAAAGAUUAACAAAAUAAUUUCAGGCCAUGCAGUUUACAUUGUCAGGGUAACUUGAUAGAAGAGGAAGGAUUUGUAUGUUCAGGAAAGUUGUUGUUGUUUGUAAAAUAAAAAAUGUUUACAAAAUGAAAAAUAUUGACAAAAUGAAAAAUACAAAAUAAAAUCUGUUUAGUGCCUUUGUAUUUUCAAAUUUAA